UGGUGAUGCUGAGACUGGAGUGCAUCUGAGGCUGUUGUAGAAAUACAUGGGUAGUUGAUUACAACAUUGCCAAUGAUUAUAACCCAAGAACAGCUCACCUGAGUAGCCUAACACCCUAAAAUCUCUAACAGGUUCAUUAAAAAUGUUCCUGUGAUCUCA